rnacentral:rRNA from 1 species
CCCGGGCCGCACCGGGGUGAGUAACACGUAUCCAACCUGCCGUCUACUCUUGGCCAGCCUUCUGAGGGAAGAUUAAUCCAGGAUGGGAUCAUGAGUUCACAUGUCCGCAUGAUUAAAGGUAUUUUCCGGUAGACGAUGGGGAUGCGUUCCAUUAGAUAGUAGGCGGGGUAACGGCCCACCUAGUCAACGAUGGAUAGGGGUUCUGAGAGGAAGGUCCCCCACAUUGGAACUGAGACACGGUCCAA